UCUCCUUAUUCUGAAAUAAAUCUUCAACCUUAAAAAACCACUUUCAUUUGGAGACCAAAUUCAUAUGAAAAUCCAGCAACCACUGCCAAAGGGAACACAUCCCGAAUCCCAAUAUCCAUUGACGAAAACACCAGCGGCUGCAACUUAUAUCUCGCAACAGUUUCACUAACUUCCUCUGAGUCACAAGCGGUCAAAAUCAACCCAACUUUGCCGCUAAUAUGAGGAAUUGCGCCAACAAAAGCAGGUUUUCCGGUUGACGGGGCAUGGAUCUCGAGUGAGCACCUCAUGAAAGAAUUCUUAACCAUGACGACAGAUGAGUGGGGUCGCAGUCAUUGCCUUAUGGCCUGAAGUAAAUAAAAGUAAGAAUAAGACAGAUGAGUGGGGUCGCAGUUCACACAAAAAGCGUCGGUUAGGUAUGGUAGGGUAUGGAAUGUUUAAUUUUUAACAUUUGACAUAGAAGUAAAUCUUAAAAGUUUUGAACGAAAAUUUCGGGUACGGGUUAAAUUCUCGUAUGAAGAACCUGCAUGAUACACUUGCUUAGGCAAAUUAAGUGAGGCAUGAAUUAAGGGGAAUAGUAAUGUAGAAGAAAUGAGACAAUUUGAAGGUAACGUAAAGGUACGCAUGAUACAAGUAACUAUCGUAAACAUAGGACGAUGUCAACUUUGGAGUUAAACGCGUAUAUGUGACUAUGAAAUAGUAGUUUUGUUGCGAUAACAAAACAAGAACUAAAUAUUAUAUAAUAUAUGCAUAGAACGUAAUUUUAAGAAGAUGAGAUGAGGGUAUUAGAUUUGUUAUAAACGGAUCAUAUGAAUGUAAGUAUCAUUACAAGUUUGAAUAAGUAUACAUAUUGACCUGUUGUGAACGGGUCGAGGAAAUGAGAAUGUUAUGUAAAGGUAAAGUAUGAAAAGUAUGGAACUGUUUGAAAGGGGUCAAUUAUAUGAAUAGUUUAUGAGUAAAGAAUGGGUAGUAUCUAUUAUUAUGAUGUACCUAUUGAAGAUAAACAGAUUGGUGUAUGUAUGAAUUUUGAAGUAAGAUCAUAUAGCCGACAAAAAUAAUAUGAAUAUCGGAUAUAAACAAAAGGAAUGUUAUUAAUGAAAUGUUACAAUUGUUUCAAGUAAACAAAAAUGAUAUAUCGUAUAUGAUAUACAAUCAUUGAGAUGAUGAAUGAACCACUAGCUAUGAAGUACGAUAGAAAUUAGCGUUAUUAGUGAAAGCGACACUAAUAUGAACUCUGGGGCGGGUUCUUGAAGAUAGAAGAUUGUCAUUAAGAUGGGCUAGCGGUCAUGUUGAUGAGUUGGAAAAAAGGAUAAUGAGUGUUUAAUGGAAAUGAGAAAGGUUUCGGGGACGAAACCUCAUUUAAGGGGGGUAGACUUGUAAUGCCCAAAAUUCGAAUGUUUAUAAUUGUUAAAUGUUCUCGUAUGGUACAUCAAGAAAUGAAUGACUAGGUUAUUUAACUAAUUUAACAAAAUGGUAAAAAUAAUUCAAGGAAUGAAAGUUGUGCCCAUUUAUAAUUAGUGACAACUUGAGGGGCUAAAGUUGGUUAAAUUGAAAGUUGAAUUAAUAACUAAAAAAUUACACACACAAACACACACGAUCGUGUGUUCUAGAGAGAGCAGGAGCUCUCAUGAAGCCAAAACCCUAACUUCAUCUAAUCCAUCAAAUUGGAAGGAUAAACGAAGCUCAAAUUCAGAACCGAACACGAAUUUGUGAUCGCCUACACGAGGGGAUCAUAAGAGGAAUCAUGUCGAGAUGGACUCAAACAUGAAAGGCUAAUAGGUCAAAAGGAGGCAAGGAAGCGGAUACGGACACGGACGCACAAGGUUGUACGAGACACUGGCGAUUAUCACGGGGAAUAGAGAUCAAAGACCGAGUCACAAGAUAGAUUGCAUGAUAACGUUGGUGUAUGUAAUAUAUCAGACAUA